rnacentral:rRNA from 1 species
UUAGUAGCGGCGAGUGAAGCGGCAAAAGCUCAAAUUUGAAAUCUGGCUCUUUCAGAGUCCGAGUUGUAAUUUGAAGAAGGUAUCUUUGGGUCUGGCUCUUGUCUAUGUUUCUUGGAACAGAACGUCACAGAGGGUGAGAAUCCCGUGCGAUGAGAUGAUCCAGGCCUAUGUAAAGUUCCUUCGAAGAGUCGAGUUGUUUGGGAAUGCAGCUCUAAGUGGGUGGUAAAUUCCAUCUAAAGCUAAAUAUUGGCGAGAGACCGAUAGCGAACAAGUACAGUGAUGGAAAGAUGAAAAGAACUUUGAAAAGAGAGUGAAAAAGUACGUGAAAUUGUUGAAAGGGAAGGGCUUGAGAUCAGACUUGGUAUUUUGUAUGUUACUUCUUCGGGGGUGGCCUCUACAGUUUAUCGGGCCAGCAUCAGUUUGGGCGGUAGGAGAAUUGCGUUGGAAUGUGGCACGGCUUCGGUUGUGUGUUAUAGCCUUCGUCGAUACUGCCAGCCUAGACUGAGGACUGCGGUUUAUACCUAGGAUGUUGGCAUAAUGAUCUUAAGUCGCCCGUCUUGAAACACGGACCAAA